GGGAAGUGGAGCCCUAACUUUCAUAGAAGGUACAGAAGGGAAAGACAUUUUCCCUCUUUCCUCUGGCAUCAAGAUGAAGGCACGUGUCUUGCCCUGGACUGUCAGACCCUUGCACCAGGGACAUCCCCCCCCCCAAUGUGUGCAGCAGAGACAGAUAAAGGAAUGAAAUAGCAUCCACUAUUGAUUUUCCCCGCCACAGAGGUGAAGACGGCAUGAAGAAAUCCGGCUUCAUCCAUGGCUAGUAACCAGUACGCCGGGAUCUGCGAAGCCCUGGGUCUCGUCAUGGGCCCCUGGUGUUGGGUUUAAAUGCUCAGGCUUGGACUUGCUUACCCUCCCUUGCUCAGCCCAGAUAUCCUCCCUCCACCUUGCGUCAUUGGCCAUCAGGGGAGGGGGAACCAGCAAGUUUUACUGUUGUCCUGACACCAGGUACUAAGAUCUCAAGCCUUCGUUGACACCAAACACACUUCUCACCUCAAGGGGAUAAGAGAUAGUUUAUUCUGGAGCUAAAUACGACUGACCAGAGACCAGGAACUCAGAUUCAGGCUGCCUCCAAUACCGUGUUCCAAUGCAGUAGCAGUUUUGCGAAGUUUUAUAUUGGAGAGCAAAAUACAAUCAAGCUCAAGGCAUUUCCAAAUACAUCGGCAGAAACAUACAAAUCCUGUUCCUGAUUGUCCAGAGCUGCACCUUCCAGGGUUACUACAGUGGGGACACAGCUCCAGCACGAAUUAUGAAGGGAAAAGAAACGGCACUUCAUUUGCCGCAUGUGAAUCUACGUCCUGAGAACAUGGGACCUUAGUUACAAAAUGGGAAUAGCGACAAAGGCCAAGACAAACUAAGAAAAAGUGAAAUGUGGACCACGAUCCAUGUUGGCCAUGUUUCCAGAAGUCCUCUCUUGGUUUGCUGUUUGUUUUUAAAGCUAACUUUCCAUGCUGAGAGCUAGUAGUUGGGACCUACCUGCUCUUUAGUUUCUCUGUUCUAGGCCUCUCUGACCUGGCUGAGUUACACAUCACUUUCUUAACUCUGCUUCCAAAUGGAGGAGCAAGGGAUUUAUCUUGUUUUCCUGGAAAAUGAAUGCCACAUGCUUGGGGGUUUUGUACAUAAGUCUGGUACAUCUGACAUGCUGCUGUUGACAGAUGUGAAUCAAAUGUCAAAUCCUCAAUGCU